CAGUCCACACCAGGUCUGAAUUCCAGAAGGGUUAUAUUCACCAUGGCCGGGACCCUUCUCCUCCUCCUGCUGUUGUCUCACUUCUCAGGUUCCCUCUCCCAGCCUAUGUUGACUCAGCUCCCCUCCAUCUGUGAAUCUCCUGGGGCAACUGUCAGACUCUCCUGUACCCUGAGCAGCGGUUAUGUUGUUACUGGUUACCACAUAUCCUGGUACCAGCAGAAGCGAGAGAGCUCUCCCCGGUUUCUGCUACGAUACCAUUCAGACUCAGAUAAGAACCAGGGCUCUGGAGUUCCCAGCCGCUUCUCUGGAUAUAAAGAUGCCUCAGCCAAUGCAGGAAUUUUACUCAUCUCUGGCCUUCAGCAAGAGGAUGAGGCUGAUUAUUACUGUCUAACACUUCACACUAACAGUGGCACUUACACAGUGCUUCAGACCAAGAGGGAAGUGAGAUUAAAACCUCCCCAUUGUUCUCCCUGCCUUAUGCUGUCAUAG